GUCGAGAAUCUUUCACAAUGGGGGCAACCCUGAUGGAGCGACGCCGCGUGGAGGAUAAGGUCUUCGGAUUGUAAACUCCUGUCAUGCGUGAACAAGGUUGCUUGGUUAAUACCUGGGCAAAUUGAUGGUAACGCAAGAGGAAGAGACGGCUAACUCUGUGCCAGCAGCCGCGGUAAUACAGAGGUCUCAAGCGUUGUUCGGAAUCACUGGGCGUAAAGGGUGCGUAGGUGGCGUGGUAAGUCAGAUGUGAAAGCCCGGGGCUCAACCUCGGAACUGCAUCCGAUACUGCCAUGCUAGAGUACUGGAGAGGUGACUAGAAUUCUCGGUGUAGCAGUGAAAUGCGUAGAUAUCGAGAGGAAUACCAAAGGCGUAGGCAGGUCACUGGACAGUUACUGACACUGAGGCACGAAGGCCAGGGGAGCGAACGGGAUUAGAUACCCUUGUAUC
rnacentral:rRNA from 1 species